CUAACCAGAAUUUAUCAGAUAUGGACUAAAGUAGCAUGCCUAAGACAAGGUACAGAUUAUGUUACUGACUAUUAUACUAAGAUGAAAAAUUUGUGGGAUGAAUUUGAUGUGUUGAUUCCUUCACCCUUGUGUGGAUGUGAAGAGGCUAAACCUUAUGUAGAACAUUUGCAUCAACAGAGAUUGUUAAUGUUUUUAAUAGGAUUGAAUGAGUCUUUUAGUCAUGUGAGAAGUGAUAUACUGCUUAAAUCUGAAGUACCUAGGUAAAUCAAGCCUAUGCAACUGUUGUACAAGAGGAGAGUCAAAGACAAUUAGGUGUAAUUGAUACAAACAAAGAAGUUCUUACCGUGCUAGCUGGGAGAGGACAAAAUUUCAGAGGAAGAAAACCAACAAGACAAGUUCAAGGUCCACCUUGUGAGGUGUGUGGUUACAAAGGGCAUAAAAUAGUAGAUUGCUACAGGUUGGUAGGUUACACUGCAGAUUUUAAGAGUAAGAAGAAGUUGAAUCAGUCUGGUAACCAGACUGGUCAAGGUGGUUAUGAUCAGGGUAAAAAUCAAAUGUCACAAGGAGGUUAUAGGCCAAGAGGUGCACAUGAAGGAGAAACAAGUAACUUCAGACCAUAUGCCAACAAUGCUGCAGCAGCAACAACAGCUUGAGGACAAGGAUAUUUCCUAACUGAAGAGGAGUAAAAUCAGAUGAAACACUUGAUGCACAAUACUGAUUUGAGUGAAUGCAAAGCUAAUAUGGCAGGUAAUGUUUCCUUAAAAAGUGAUUGGGAUUGGUAGACAAUCUAAUGAUCUUUACUUGUUGAGAGAUGGAAUAAGAGCAGCAGUGAAUGCCUCAAUAGAAGGUUCAAGUCUGUUUGACCUUUGGCAUCUCAGACUUGGUCACCCCUCACUCAAAGUAAUGCAACAUAUAUCAACUAUCAAGGACAGUUUGAAGACUUCACCACGACAGUGUUGCCAAAUAUGUCCCAUGGCUAAACAAAGUAGGUUGCCAUUUCCUAACAGUAUCAAUAAGUCAAACCAUGUUUUCCAUUUAGUUCAUCUAGAUGUCUCGGGUCCAUAUAGAACUCCCACAUAUGACAAGAAGCAUUAUUUUGUUACAAUAGUUGAUGAUUACAGUAGAUACACCUGGAUAUGUUUGAUUUAGCAUAAAACUGAGGUUCUAACUGUACUAAAGGACUUUUUGACUAUGGUUUGUACUCAGUUUGGUAUUAAAGUGCAAAUAUUGAGAUCUGACAAUGGAACUGAAUUUACGAGCUCUAAAUGUAAAA